AUGUCGUCCAGCACGAUCCGGAAGGCGCUGGGCGCCGUCAAGGACCAGACCAGCAUCGGGCUCGCCAAGGUCACCAGCAACAUAGCGCCGGAGCUCGACGUGCUCAUCGUCAAGACCACCAGCCACGACGACGAGCCGGCCGAGGAGCGCCACAUCCGCGAGAUCCUCCACCUCACCUCCGGAUCCCGCGCCCACGUCGCCGCCGCGGUCGCCGGCUGCGCCCGCAGGCUCUCCCGCACCCGCGACUACGUCGUCGCGCUCAAGUCGCUCAUGCUCGUGCACCGUCUCCUCACCGACGGCGACCCCUUCUUCCACCGGGAGCUCCUCCACGCCACGCGCCGGGGCACCCGCCUCCUCAACCUCUCCGACUUCCGUGACGAGGCGCACUCUGGCUCGUGGGACCACUCUGAUGACAAGAGGCCGCCGACCCCUGUGAGGGAUAUGAAGCCGGAGCGGGUCCUUGGCCGUAUGCACCACCUGCAGCAGCUGCUCGACAGGUUCCUUGCCUGCCGCCCCACAGGUGGCGCGAAGCAGAGCAGGAUGGUGCUGGUUGCACUGUAUCAGAUGGCGAGGGAGAGCUUCCAGCUCUACGCCGAUAUCUGCGAGGUACUUGCGGUGCUGCUGGACAGGUUCUUUGACAUGGAAUACGCUGAUUGUGUCAAGGCCUUCGAGGCAUAUGCCAGUGCGGCAAAGCAGAUUGAUGAGCUUUGCUCAUUUUAUGCUUGGUGUAAGGACACCGGGGUAGCGAGAUCAUCGGAGUACCCAGAGGUGCAGCGGGUCACUGAUAAGUUACUGGAGACAUUGGAGGAGUUUAUGAGGGACCGGGCAAAGCGCCCCAAGAGCCCACCACGGGAGCCUGAGCCCGAGCCGGUCAAGGAGGAAGAGCCAGAGCCGGACAUGAACAGCAUCAAGGCGCUUCCUGCACCAGAGGACUACAAGGAGCCUGAACCUGAGAAGGUGGAGGAAGAGGUGAAGCCAGAGCCCCCGCCGCAGCCCCAGGGUGAUCUGGUGGAUCUUAGAGAAGACACUGUGAGUGCAGAUGAGCAAGGCAAUAGGCUUGCUCUGGCCCUCUUCCAAGGGCCACCUGCUGCUGGUGGUAGCAAUGGGUCAUGGGAGGCCUUCCCUUCCAAUGGUGGCAACGAAGUGACUUCUGCGUGGCAGAAUCCUGCGGCUGAGCCCGGUAAGGCUGAUUGGGAACUCGCCCUUGUGGAGACGGCUAGCAACUUGUCCAAGCAGAAGGCUGUAAUGACAGGUGGUAUGGAUAAUCUGCUACUGAAUGGUAUGUACGACCAAGGUGUUGUGCGUCAGCAUGUCAACGCACAGGCGACUAGUGGGAGCUCCAGCAGUGUUGCCCUACCUGCGCCUGGACAGAAGACACAGAUGCUGGCUCUUCCGGCACCAGACGGUUCGAUGCAGAACGUUGGUGGGGAUCCUUUUGCGGCAUCCCUUACCUUCGCACCACCAUCCUAUGUGCAGAUGGCCGAGAUGGAGAAGAAGCAGCAGUUCUUGACACAGGAGCAGAUGAUGUGGCAGCAGUACCAACGGGACGGCAUGCAGGGGCCGUCGAGCUUGGCCAAGCUCGAUCGGACCUACAACAACGGCUUCGGCUCAAACCCAGCCAUGCCAUACGGGAUGCCAAACGCGCCAAUGGCAAAUACAGGGUAUUACUACCCCACUUACUGA
rnacentral:rRNA from 1 species